AGAUGCAGACCGUGCACAAGAUAUAAUUCAUAGAGUGAAUGUUCUCAGAACUGACGGCAAGUUGAGCGCCACGAACGGGAGGUGAUGGCGGCAGAAACACCGAAACGUCUUCAAGGAUCAGGGCUGUCUCUCUACGCAGAGGAUGCUGUGGUGUGCUGGUUAGUGUCCCCAACAAGUUUCAGCGAAUACAUAAGCAGAGAAGGAAG